UUCUUUUUUAUUUUAGGAUAGUAAUUUAAUUUAUUUGAUUUUUAUUUAAAACAUAAUAAAAAUAUAUUAAAAAAAGAGAUUCUAUUAUCUUUUUUUUAGGUAGUCUUUUCUAUUUUAGGAGAUAAUCCACAUAAUUAGUAAAAAUUAAUCAUGAAUCAAUCAAAUAAAUUUAUUUUUGGGCUAUUGAUUAUUUUUAUUGAUUAUAAUUACAUUGAGAAAAUUUUACCUUGUAUCUCUACCGUUAGCCUCAUACCCCUACAAUUUUUUAAAAAUUCUCAUUCUAUCCUUUUUGGCAUUUUAAAAAAAU
rnacentral:lncRNA from 1 species